rnacentral:rRNA from 1 species
GUUAGGAAUAUUGGACAAUGGACGCAAGUCUGAUCCAGCCAUGCCGCGUGAGUGAUGAAGGCCUUCGGGUUGUAAAGCUCUUUAGCCGAUGAUUAUAAUGACUGUAGUCGGAAAAUAAGCCCCGGCUAACUUCGUGCCAGCAGCCGCGGUAAUACGAAGGGGGCGAGCGUUAUUCGGAAUCACUGGGCGUAAAGCGUGCGUAGGCGGUUUUGUAAGUUGGGAGUGAAAGCCCAGGGCUCAACCCUGGAAUUGCUCUCAAAACUACAAGACUUGAAGUCGGGAGAGGAUAGCGGAAUUGUCAGUGUAGCAGUGAAAUGCGUAGAUAUUGACAGGAACACCAGUGGCGUAAGCGGCUAUCUGGACCGACAUUGACGCUGAGGCACGAAAGCGUGGGGAUCAAACAGGAUUAGAAACCCUGGUAGUCC